GCGCACCCUUCGGGGCGAGCGGCGGACGGGUUAGUAACGCGUGGGAACAUACCCUUUUCUAUGGAAUAGCCUUUGGAAACGAAGAGUAAUACCAUAUACGCCCUUCGGGGGAAAGAUUUAUCGGAGAAGGAUUGGCCCGCGUAAGAUUAGAUAGUUGGUGGGGUAAUGGCCUACCAAGUCUACGAUCUUUAGCUGGUUUUAGAGGAUGAUCAGCAACACUGGGACUGAGACACGGCCCAGACUCCUACGGGAGGCAGCAGUGGGGAAUCUUAGACAAUGGGCGCAAGCCUGAUCUAGCCAUGCCGCGUGUGUGAUGAAGGCCUUAGGGUCGUAAAGCACUUUCGCCAGAGAUGAUAAUGACAGUAUCUGGUAAAGAAACCCCGGCUAACUCCGUGCCAGCAGCCGCGGUAAUACGGAGGGGGUUAGCGUUGUUCGGAAUUACUGGGCGUAAAGCGUACGUAGGCGGAUCAGAAAGUAGGGGGUGAAAUCCCGAGGCUCAACCUCGGAACUGCCUCCUAAACUCCUGGUCUUGAGUUCGAGAGAGGUGAGUGGAAUUCCAAGUGUAGAGGUGAAAUUCGUAGAUAUUUGGAGGAACACCAGUGGCGAAGGCGGCUCACUG
rnacentral:rRNA from 1 species